rnacentral:lncRNA from 1 species
UGGAAACUUAUUGUUGAGUAAGUGGAUUGAAAAAAAAGAGAAGAUCUUCAUUCAUCAUUAGAAACCAGAACAAGUUCAACAUGCAGUAGGUCUAUAUAAGGAAUCUGUCAUCUGACACUGCACAUGGGAGCGUUGAUUUAGCAUAAGAAAGAGAAAAGGAGGAGUUAGUUAAAACCAAACCAGAAAACAUGGCUGUGAGGAAAAGCAGCAUGAUGCGUGUGGCCAAUAGGAGAAUGAGUGAUUUUGUGUGGGAGUUGCUUUAUAAAAGGAAAGGG